GGCCGCCGGGCGGGCCUGCGAGCGCGGGCGCAGAUUAUCCCAACUCCCUGGCAAGGCACAGACCUGGGAUCUCACCAGCCCAAACUGCAGUCUUUUCCAGAAGUUUUGAGGUGUGUACGGUGCCACUAGGUGAGCCCCCAGCCCUGGUGACUGGCUUAGCUUUCCAUCGCUGUAAGGAAAUGCAAGAAAGCACUGACUUUUUUUUUUUUUUUUUGGUACCAGGGAUCGAACUUGGGACCUUGCCUUUGUGAGACAGGUGGUAGAACCACUGAGCUAAAUGCCUGGCCCAAGAAAGCAUUGACUUAUAAAGAGAAGAGCUUACUCCCUUCUGAUGCUCUGGUCCCAUAUCGGGAGGCCCAGCUGGAUGGCAGUGGAGCAGACUGCUCC
rnacentral:lncRNA from 1 species